CUUAGCACCUCAACAUAUCAAUUUUGGGGAAAUACAAUUCAGUUCACAGUGCAUAGAUAGAUAUUAAUUGAUAUUAUCAAAAGAAACCAUGGGCAGAUAAACCCAAAACCAAACUGUUUUAAUGGUUAUCUAUUGGGAAGAAAAAGAAACAGGGUGAACGGGAAGUUACAGAAGCAAGAUUUCUGUGACUGUAACUGGAUAAAUAGAGAGUUUGGGAGGACGAUAAGUGUUUUAUGUGAUUUUUAAAAAUUAAAGUAAACUGAAAUGAAUGAGUCUUCCUGCAUAUAAAGUGUGUGGCAUAACCACAUAAAGCAAACAAUUACUUAAAGUGGCUUUAAAACGCAGCAUUUUGACUAUACAUCCCAAGUGAGAGAUAUGCUAUGGACAAUAAAAAAAAGGAAAAGAAAAAAGGAAAGAAAUCAUAAAUGGCAUUCAGUAGCCAUAUAUUAGUAUUGACAUUUUUAUUAAAUUACUAUGUUUCCAUCAUUAGGAACCAUAAUUUUCAGUAUAAAAAUGACAUAGCAUAAAAUCAAGGAAGUUUAAGUAAAAAUCUUGUAAUCUUAAAAGUGAAUUGGAAAUUGCAGUAUGAACUCACAUUGUGUUUUACUCUUUAAAAAAUACAUAUUUUCUAGUUCUGUCCACUGAAAAGACCCAGAAGCAAUGAAAACCCAGUAACAAUGAGCACACUUCCACGGCUGAACUCUCUAGAUAACAUUUACCAAUGAAAUUGGCUGAUUCUAAGUCUAGGGCAAAAAAUGUACAAAAGGAGACUGGAUACAAGUCUCUUAUUGUACCAGAAAGUGAAGGAGAAAUCAAAGACUAAUGAGGUCACGUUAAAGUGAUACAGGACGACACAGGGCCUGCCUGCAGCAGCUGGUCAAUAAUGAAGGGAUUAAUCCAUGACUGCAAGACUCGUGGGAAGGAGGGAGUGGGGACUGCAGGGAGGGUCCUAGUAAAAGCAGGGUGGGCCUCGAUGAGCACAGCAUGGACAGUGCGAUUUAAAUCCCAUCGCUUGUGGGCAGGAGGAGUGAGGAUGCCAGAACCUAGUUAUCCCCCACCAUCCCACGCUCUCCCAGGAGGCGGCGGCAGGAAGUGCAGUCUACAGUAAGGGAAAGCCGCCGGAGCUGGAGACAGGCUGGAAAGAGCAGGUAACAGCCCACAAGGAGCGGGGGCCCUGGCUGUCAGACUCAACUUGCAGGACCAUCAAGUGCAGGUGUGGUUCAAGAACCGGGGCCGCUUGCUCUGCGGUAGCAACGGCACAUAACCGCAGCGAUGACCAGGGCAGCCAAGCCAGCAGCCGGGACCCCGGGAUGCUCUUGGCACAUGAUCCGACUCCCCUGCCUUUGCGGGUCCUGUACUCCCGCGAGGUCCAGGAUUGUGCAGCCCCUCCCCAACCGGCCGUUGGGAAUCUUCGCAGCAGCAGAACCCGCUGCCUCCAGGUCCGACCAGACCUGCAUAGGUAGAGAGUCCCCGCACAGGGCGGCCAGCAGAGCUACCCAGCUGCCCCAGGGCCUCGGGACCCCUGGGCCUGGGACCCAGGCCAGACCCUGACUCAUUCGGUGAUCUCACAGGACUCCUCCCACCCCAAGACCCUUUCAGGGACCCUGCCUCGAACUCCACGACAUGGGAGGCAGGGGCGGGCCUUUUGCAGGGGAAGGACUCCCCCAGCAGGACGUUUACUGAAUCUGGAGGGAGUCGCCCUGCAGAUAUCCCGCGGAAGCCGGAGGAGACCCAGCAAUUCCAUUUUGGAAAAUUUAUCCUGAGGAAAUAAAUAAAGAUGUAAACAGAGAAUAACUUACAGAUGUGACGUUUGUGAUCGUUAAAACUGGAAACAGCGCAAGAGUGGACGAUAGGGGAUGAGAGAGCCACACAGCGCAUAGAAGAUGAUCAGUCUGAAGAGAGGGUUUUCAGACAUGCAAUUAACUGCUAUUCACUGUACUUCAUUUUAACUGCAAACUAGCAGGAAAAAAGAGGUCAACUCGGAGGAGCCAGGGAUUCAGCCCACUCUGGACAACACUCAGAGCCAUGGCACCUACCUGUAUGAAAAAAAAUUGUUAAGCAGCUGCCACUCCUAGUUACUGGCCUCUGCUCGGUGACUGAUGCACUUCUAACAUCCUUGUCCCAGGAUAAAGACCUUGUAAUGGAGAAAAAAGAUGGCAGGGAUCCUUUCCAUGGAAUUUCGGCUGUUGUCUAGUGGACCUUCCAGGAAUUGUCUGAUUCUAUGGGAGUGCGCAACUUUGACUGUUCAGUUGGGCCAAUUGGCAACACUGUAGAGACGGAAACUAACUUGUGGAGGGCUGAGGGUGAUACAGACAUUUUCUGUCCGUGGUAAUGCAAAAGGUGUUCAUAGCAAUGCAAAUGGAUUUUAUCCAAUGGGGGAGAUAAAUAUUUGAACGGGCUCUCUUGUUAAUUACUAGUUAAUCAAAAUAUUUGACAUGUAUUCAUUCUAUAUUUAUAGGGGAGUCAUGAUUCUACCUUUUUGGAAAUGACCCUCUAGCAGUUUUAUUGGUCCUAUGAGAUACACAGUAGAUUCACCAGCCAGAGCCAGAUGAGCUGCACAGUUGCCAAAGGGAACUUCAGAUGCCACCAGAGCCUCAGCUCUGUCCUCCCUCACCUCCCAAGGUGACUUCCAAGCAGCCACAGAACUUUAAUUUUACUUACUCUCUGUUUCUCUAGUUUUAUUUUUCUAAUCUUUACUGAAUUUGUGUCUGUGGUUUUAUUUCUGGUUUAUUCCUGACUAUAAGUUAUUCCCUAUUCUUGACAACAGUGAUUGAGAAUUUGGUUUUUGGCCUGACCAUUUAGUCAUCUCUGUAGAUGGAUGACACAGAUCUAAUUCCUUUCAAGUGAGAGACAACAGGAAAUCCGGUUUGUUGGUCCUUUCUUGUUUGUUUAUUUUGAGCUCCAGUCAGUUAGAAAUUUAGUGCCCGCUGCAAAGCACAGCUCUUUGAGACUUGGGAUUGGUAAGAGGGUGUGUUGCUUACUUCUGGCCUGUGGCUGAAUUUGCAGGGCCAAAGCCAAAAUCUCUCCAUAUGUCUGUCAUCUGUGAUCCAUGUGUCUGCAAGUCUAUAACUGAGAAAAGCCUUGAUUCCGUGAUAUGUGAGUGUGAAAUAAAUUAAUAAAUUAGUUAUGUCUCUUAAAUCAAAGGAGCUCUGUUCUUACUAGUUUAUAGGAAAAAAGGCACUUAUAUAUCUUAUAUAUCUCAUAUUUCUAGCUUCUAGUGCUUUCAAUGUGUUAGGCUUUUUAAAAUAUCCUUCAUACAGAAACUGCUACCUUAAAUACAUUUUAUAAAACCAAGUUCCUGUAACUAAGGUAAAUCUGUGGCAAGUCAAACUAGCUUAAUAAUUUUGGUUUUUAAAAAACAGAUUGGUCUUGUCUUUGAUUUACAGUGUUAAGUAUAAUUCAAUUGUGUAUUUGAUCAAAUCUCUCAUGAAGAGAAUAAUCUGGUCUUCUUAAAUAGUUUAUCAAAAAGAUAACAUUAGUCUAAUACAAUGUCACUAUUAUGAAAACUGAAUAUUGGUAUUACUCUAAAUUGAAUCACUAUUUAGACACAUCCGUUACCUCAACCUAUGUUUUGUAGUAUAAUUUAUCCAAUUAAAUAAAUGUCCAAGAUCUUUAGAUAACUUAGAACCUGGAAUCUUCAGAUAAAUCAGAACCUGACCCUGAAUGGAGUUAAUUAAUAGAUAAUCAUCAGAUACCUAGAUAAACGAAGUAGGAUAUAACACUAAAACAUGGAUUGCUAAGCCUACUUUUAGGCUUAUCCACUUUUGCUCCUUAUUUUUAUAU
rnacentral:lncRNA from 1 species